rnacentral:rRNA from 1 species
AUGGCUCAGAACGAACGCUGGCGGCGCGUCUAAGCAUGCAAGUCGGACGGCAAGGGUUGUGCUUGCACAACUCCUAGAGUGGCGGACUGGUGAGUAACGCGUGGGUGACCUGCCCUCGAGAUGGGGAUAGCCAUUAGAAAUAGUGGAUAAUACCGAAUACGCUCAUGACCCUGUGGGGAUAUGAGGAAAACAGGCUACGGCCUGGCUCGAGGAUGGGCCCGCGUCCCAUUAGCUAGUUGGUGAGGUAACGGCCCACCAAGGCGACGAUGGGUAUCCGGCCUGAGAGGGUGUACGGACACAUUGGGACUGAGAUACGGCCCAAACUCCUACGGGAGGCAGCAGCUAAGAAUAUUCCGCAAUGGACGAAAGUCUGACGGAGCGACGCCGCCGUGGAUGAAGAAGGCCGUGAGGUUGUAAAGUUCUUUUCGGGAGGGGGAACAACCGUGGCAGGGAAUGGCCGCGGGAUGACGUGAAUCCCGGAAUAAGCCCCGGCUAACUACGUGCCAGCAGCAGC